CUACGGGUCGCUGCAGUGAGGAAUAUUGCACAAUGGAGGAAACUCUGAUGCAGCAACGCCGCGUGGGGGAUGACGCAUUUCGGUGUGUAAACUCCUUUUAUGAGUCAAGAAAAUGACGGUAGCUCAUGAAUAAGCACCGGCUAACUCCGUGCCAGCAGCCGCGGUAAUACGGAGGGUGCAAGCGUUACUCGGAAUCACUGGGCGUAAAGGACGCGUAGGCGGGAUAUCAAGUCAGGUGUGAAAUCCUACAGCUUAACUGUAGAACUGCACUUGAAACUGGUAACCUAGAGUAUGGGAGGGGGAGAUGGAAUUAGUGGUGUAGGGGUAAAAUCCGUAGAUAUCACUAGGAAUACCUAAAGCGAAGGCGAUCUCCUGGAACAUAACUGACGCUAAGGCGUGAAAGCGUGGGGAGCAAACAGGAUUAGAUACCCGCGUAGUC
rnacentral:rRNA from 1 species